UACGUAGGGUGCGAGCGUUGUCCGGAAUUAUUGGGCGUAAAGAGCUUGUAGGCGGUUUGUCGCGUCUGCCGUGAAAUUUCGAGGCUCAACCUCGAACUUGCGGUGGGUACGGGCAGACUAGAGUGUGGUAGGGGAGACUGGAAUUCCUGGUGUAGCGGUGAAAUGCGCAGAUAUCAGGAGGAACACCGAUGGCGAAGGCAGGUCUCUGGGCCACUACUGACGCUGAGAAGCGAAAGCAUGGGGGAGCGAACAGG
rnacentral:rRNA from 1 species